GAUAAACGCUGGCGGCGUGCCUAACACAUGCAAGUCGAACGUCCUCUCUCGCAAGAGAGAGGGAGUGGCGGACGGGUGAGUAACACAUGGGUCACCUACCCUUAAGUGAGGAAUACCGGCGAGAAAUCGCCGACAAGACCGCAUAGGUUCUCUCUUUUGCAAGAGAGAGCAAAGCUUCGCAAGAGGCGCUUGAGGAUGGGCCUGUGGCCGAUUAGCUGGUUGGUAGGGAAUGGCUUACCAAGGCGACGAUCGGUAGCUGGUCUGAGAGGACGAUCAGCCACACUGGGAUUGAGAACGGCCCAGACUCCUACGGGGGGCAGCAGUGAGGAAUUUUCCGCAAUGGGGGCAACCCUGACGGAGCAACGCCGCGUGCAGGAAGACGCUUUUCGGAGUGUAAACUGCUUUUCUCGGGCAAGAGAACGGACGGUACCCGAGGAACAAGCCCCGGCUAACUACGUGCCAGCCGCCGCGGUAAG
rnacentral:rRNA from 1 species